rnacentral:rRNA from 1 species
CUAGAACAGCGGUGUGUUCUUCUCGAGAGGGAUAAAUUACUUCGCUAUUUUUGUACCCUAGAACGUCGGUAACUAAGUGAGGGUUCGAUGUACUAUAGUACAAUGUUCCGAGAAAUGUGUCAGUGUUUACUGUAGAGGCUGUACCAGUUCUUUCUCGUACCUAACUUGGGAUAGUUAGUAGAGUUCUUUCGAACCCGUUGAAACAAACUACCUAAGUACUAGCUCCCUUUUACCGAUAGAUGAUUAGUCCAAGGAUGUAG